rnacentral:lncRNA from 1 species
CCUUACACGUGGUUUUUCAUAACGUGAUUUUUUUCAUGACAAAUUAAACUUAAUUAAUAAUUAGCUAUGUUUUCUGUAGCCAUUAGCCACAGUUAAAUAAUAAAGUGUAAACAAUGAAUAUUAUAGUUUUUCAAUUAUAUAAUUAUUAAAUGGUAUAAGACUUCAGAAAAAUAACACAGUACUCAAUUAUAUUGUAAUCUGUAACGAUAUAUCUUGCUAUCACAGAUUAUAAAAAAAAUAUAAUCCAUGCUAAUAUCCCAAAUUAUUAGUUUAAGUCAUAUUGAAAUGAGAUCAAUUAACUAUAUUACCAUGUGGUUUCAACACUUUGUAUCCGGUUGUGUGGUUAAAAUGAAAACAAUACACUUGCUUAAUCUGGCGAAAAAUAUGAUAAUAUCUAAAAAGAUAUUCUAUACACAUUCAAAAUAUAAUUCAUUAUAUUCAGUGAUUUAUUAUACAGUUUAUAUAAGUAAUGAAACAUGACAUUAAUAAAUCUGAUUUAAAUGCAAGAUGACAUCAAUAAAUAUUAUACUUGUAAUAGAUUUUAAACCGCUACACGAAGUUGAGUAUUAUUCCCCCUUUCCCUAUAUGGUAUCAUUUAUUUAAUUACCCUCAGUAAAGACUAACCUAAAUUUUUUACAUUUGGCUUAACCACAAUGGGGGUAUGUGGAACAAACCCCAACUUAACCUUUCACAGUUUAUAACGUACCUAUUUAUACCACCCCUGAAUUUCUUGAUCUUGGUCAGCGUAUUGUCAUGUACAUGUACUACUGUGUUUUAUAGUAAAUACUAAUAACUUAAUAUACAAUUGUUAGUAUAGCUCUCUUAUAACUAGUCACCAAAUAGUAUAAGUGGAAAAAAUGUAUUUGGCUUAUAGAUAAAGAAUAUAUUUUUAAAUUAUUACCUAUUUUUUUUUAUGGUACCUAAUUUAAAUUAAGUUUUCAUUUUUUUUUUUUUGGAUAAACAUGUAAAGUAUAUUAAAUUAUAUAGAUCUUAAAAACUUCCUAAAUUCCUAAAACAAUUAUUUUUUGUCCAUUAUGAAUGAUACAAUUGGCAAGUUAUGUGAUUACUUAGACACCAGAUGUGAAUGGGAGAUUUGUUGCACUUUCCAAAAUUAGUUGAUCAACUAAUUAUUUUUUUUUAAAUACAGUAUAGGUACCUAUGAAAGUUCAUCGCUUUAAAAUAAUUAAUCCUUCAACAUAUUGUAAAUAUAAUAAAAACAUUAUGAAAAUCACUAAUUAUUAUAAAUUUAAGUAUCAAUGAACAUAUGAAUUUUUCACUACCAAUAAAGUAAUUUAAUAAAUAAUAAAAAUUGCAAUCAUGAACUUAAUGCUGCUAACCAUUAUUAUAAAAUGUUUGAUUAAAUAUCAUUUAAAUCACUUAUGAUUAUAAUCUAAGUUACCAAUGAAAAAGUAAUGAAUAAAUGUAAUAAUAUUCGUCACUACCGAUGAGGUGAUUUAAUAUUUUUAACUUGAUGUUAUAAAAACAGAUACUAUUGAAAAUGUAAUUAAGUAUAUACAAUUUAAAUCACUUAUGAUUAUAAUCUAAGUUACCAAUGAAAAAGUAAUGAAUAAAUGUAAUAAUAUUCGUCACUACCGAUGAGGUGAUUUAAUAUUUUUAACUUGAUGUUAUAAAAACAGAUAUUAUUGAAAAUGUAAUUAAUUAUAUACAAUUUAAAUCACUUAUGAUUAUAAUCUAAGUUACCAAUGAAAAAGUAAUGAAUAAAUGUAAUAUUCGUCACUACCGAUGAGGUGAUUUAAUAUUUUUAACUUGAUGUUAUAAAAACAGAUAUUAUUGAAAAUGUAAUUAAUUAUAUACAAUUUAAAUCACUUAUGAUUAUAAUCUAAGUUACCAAUGAAAAAGUAAUGAAUAAAUGUAAUAUUCGUCACUACCGAUGAGGUGAUUUAAUAUUUUUAACUUGAUGUUAUAAAAACAGAUAUUAUUGAAAAUGUAAUUAAUUAUAUACAAUUUAAAUCACUUAUGAUUAUAAUCUAAGUUACCAAUGAAAAAGUAAUGAAUAAAUGUAAUAUUCGUCACUACCGAUGAGGUGAUUUAAUAUUUUUAACUUGAUGUUAUAAAAACAGAUAUUAUUGAAAAUGUAAUUAAUUAUAUACAAUUUAAAUCACUUAUGAUUAUAAUCUAAGUUACCAAUGAAAAAGUAAUGAAUAAAUGUAAUAUUCGUCACUACCGAUGAGGUGAUUUAAUAUUUUUAACUUGAUGUUAUAAAAACAGAUACUAUUGAAAAUGUAAUUAAUUAUAUACAAUUUAAAUCACUUAUGAUUAUAAUCUAAGUUACCAAUGAAAAAGUAAUGAAUAAAUGUAAUAUUCGUCACUACCAAUGAGGUGAUUUAAUACUUUGAAAAUAAGUUGUU